rnacentral:rRNA from 1 species
GUAACAGCUCACUGGUCAAGCGCAGCUGCGCCGAAAUGUAACGGGGAUCAAGCCACGCGCCGAAGCUUAGGGCUCGAAAGAGCGGUAGCGGAGCGUUCCGUAAGCCUGUGAAGCCGUCGGGCGACCGAUGGUGGAGGUAUCGGAAGUGAGAAUGCUGACAUGAGUAGCGACAAAGAGGGUGAGAGACCCUCUCGCCGAAAGACCAAGGGUUCCUGUCCAAUGCUAAUCAGGGCAGGGUUAGCCGGCCCCUAAGGCGAGGCCGAAAGGCGUAGUCGAUGGGAACCAGGUGAAUAUUCCUGGGCCAGCGGGUGUGUGACGGAUGUGGACUGUGGUUUGGGCUUAUCGGAUUGCCCAGGCUCUGGAAAGCGUCCCAGGAAAUAGCCCCCGCAUAGACCGUACCCGAAACCGACACAGGUGGUCUGGUAGAGAAUACCAAGGCGCUUGAGAGAACUACUGCGAAGGAACUCGGCAAAUUACCCUCGUAACUUCGGGAGAAGAGGGCCUGGUUGAGUAACUUCAGCCAGGGGCACAAACCAGGGGGUGGCGACUGUUUAUCAAAAACACAGGGCUCUGCGAAGCCGUAAGGCGACGUAUAGGGUCUGACUCCUGCCCAGUGCCGGAAGGUUAAGAGGAGGUGUGCAAGCACUGAAUCGAAGCCCCGGUGAACGGCGGCCGUAACUAUAACGGUCCUAAGGUAGCGAAAUUCCUUGUCGGGUAAGUUCCGACCUGCACGAAUGGAGUAACGACUUCCCCGCUGUCUCCGCAGUAGACUCAGCGAAAUUGAAUUCUCCGUGAAGAUGCGGAGUUCCCGCGGCUAGACGGAAAGACCCUGUGAACCUUUACUGCAGCUUCGCAGUGGCGCUAUCGACGGCAUGUGUAGGAUAGGUGGGAGGCUUUGAACCGGAGGCGCCAGCUUUCGGGGAGCCAUCCUUGAAAUACCACCCUUGU